rnacentral:rRNA from 1 species
AGUGAACGCUGGCGGUAGGCCUAACACAUGCAAGUCGAACGGCAGCACAGUAAGAGCUUGCUCUUACGGGUGGCGAGUGGCGGACGGGUGAGGAAUACAUCGGAAUCUACUUUUUCGUGGGGGAUAACGUAGGGAAACUUACGCUAAUACCGCAUACGACCUACGGGUGAAAGCAGGGGAUCUUCGGACCUUGCGCGAUUGAAUGAGCCGAUGUCGGAGUAGCUAGUUGGCGGGGUAAAGGCCCACCAAGGCGACGAUCCGUAGCUGGUCUGAGAGGAUGAUCACCCACACUGGAACUGAGACACGGUCCAGACUCCUACGGGAGGCAGCAGUGGGGAAUAUUGGACAAUGGGCGGAAGCCUGAUCCAGCCAUACCGCGUGGGUUAAGAAGGCCUUCGGGUUGUAAAGCCCUUUUGUUGGGAAAGAAAAGCAGCAGGUUAAUACCCCGCUGUUCUGACGGUACCCAAAGAAUAAGCACCGGCUAACUUCGUG